rnacentral:rRNA from 1 species
GAUGAACGCUGGCGGCGUGCCUAAUACAUGCAAGUCGAGCGAACAGAUAAGGAGCUUGCUCCUUUGACGUUAGCGGCGGACGGGUGAGUAACACAUGGGUAACCUACCUAUAAGACUGGGAUAACUUCGGGAAACCGGAGCUAAUACCGGAUAACAUUUGGAACCGCAUGGUUCUAAAGUGAAAGAUGGUUUUGCUAUCACUUAUAGAUGGACCCGCGCCGUAUUAGCUAGUUGGUAAGGUAACGGCUUACCAAGGCAACGAUACGUAGCCGACCUGAGAGGGUGAUCGGCCACACUGGAACUGAGACACGGUCCAGACUCCUACGGGAGGCAGCAGUAGGGAAUCUUCCGCAAUGGGCGAAAGCCUGACGGAGCAACGCCGCGUGAGUGAUGAAGGGUUUCGGCUCGUAAAACUCUGUUAUUAGGGAAGAACAAACGUGUAAGUAACUGUGCACGUCUUGACGGUACCUAAUCAGAAAGCCACGGCUAACUACGUG